rnacentral:rRNA from 1 species
UGCCAGCCGCCGCGGUAAUACGGAGGGUGCAAGCGUUACUCGGAGUCACUGGGCGUAAAGAGCGUGUAGGCGGGUUAAUAAGUCAGAUGUGAAAGCCAAUAGCUCAACCAUUGAACUGCUUUGAAAACUGCUUACCUAGAAUAUGGGAGAGGUAGAUGGAAUUUCUGGUGUAGGGGUAAAAUCCGUAGAGAUCAGAAGGAAUACCGAUUGCGAAGGCGAUCUACUGGAACAUUAUUGACGCUGAGACGCGAAAGCGUGGGGAGCAAACAGGAUUAGAUA